rnacentral:rRNA from 1 species
CACGGAGUUAGCCGGAGCUUAUUCUCCAGGUACUGUCAUUAUCAUCCCUGGUAAAAGAGCUUUACAACCCUAAGGCCUUCAUCACUCACGCGGCAUUGCUGGAUCAGGCUUUCGCCCAUUGUCCAAUAUUCCCCACUGCUGCCUCCCGUAGGAGUCUGGGCCGUGUCUCAGUCCCAGUGUGGCUGAUCAUCCUCUCAGGCCAGCUAAGGAUCGUCGCCUUGGUAGGCCAUUACCCCACCAACUAGCUAAUCCUACGCGGGCUCAUCCCUCGGCGAUAAAAUCUUUGGUCCGAAGACAUUAUAAAGGUAUUAGCUGAAAAUUUCUCUCAGUUAUUCCCAACCGAAGGGCAGAUUCCCAGCGUUACGCACCCGUGCGCCACUAGACCCGAAGGUCUCGUUCGACUUGCAUGUGUUAGGCAUGCCGCCAGCGUUCGUUCUGAGCCAGGAUCAAAACUCU